UAACCAAAUGUUUUAAAUAUCUUAGUAACUAAAAAAAAAUCAGAGCUAAAAAAAUUUCAAGAUUUUUUUUAUUCUUCAACCACUUAACCUAAUUUACAGCUCUUUUGUCCACUAGAGUACUGCUUGAGCGAUUAUGCACUUUUGUACUGCGCCUAUGUAUAUUCUAUUCUUAUUCUACUUUUUCGAACUGGUUGUUUUUGCGCUGUUGUCACUUUUCUACACUGUGCAUAUUAGAAUGAUGAGCAUGAGGAUGUUAAUGUGUGACUCUUGUUCCUUUUCCUGACCGAUUGGGGGUUCAUAAUGAAUUGCUGUUGGCUGAUAGCCAAGUUUCCGGGUCCGUUAGAGCACAUCCCAGGUAACAAUUUGAUGCUGUACAAACGUUUUUUCAACUAUUUGAAAGCAGCCUUUAUUUGAACAAAAAACACAAGUGGUACAAUGUUUUAUUCAGCCUCUAAACAUAUAAUUUUGGUGGUUUUAUUCAACCUUUAGCUGAUAUGAAGUUCAUUGAAAGGCCGAUUUAGAGUUUAAUAUGCGCUUAAUUAGUCAUCAGUCAAAUUAUUUAUUUUGGUCAUAAACAAAACGUACAUUUUCGUAAGCAUUGCUUUCCAUUUUCGGCUUUCUAUUUCCAGAAGAGAUGUUAAGGAAUGUAUAAACUAAUCUAUGGGAAAACUGGGCUUUCAACCCGGACCUCCUGAUUCAUAGUCACUCACCUUAGCACCUACACCACACACUACAAUAUUCUCGAAAAUGAGAGCAUUAAUUGUUGUGUCUGAAUAAUCAAGCACAUUAAUUGAAUUAAACCUGGAUUAAGGCUGAAGCUGAGGAAUUCCACGGAGUCAUGUCAGUCGAUCUUGAGCGACCAUUUCAAAAAUAUCUGAAACUUAGCACAGUUUUUCCAUUUCAUAUAAAUCGCCAUUUUUCGAUAUUAAACCUUCAUAUUCACUCACGACUAACUUUUCAAAAGGGUGUAUGCGAAAAUAGUUCAAAAAUAUUCUAAAAGCUGUACAGCAAAAACGGAUUGUUCGAUUGUUAUGAAUUUUUCAGCAAAGUUAGAUAACUAAAUGAUGAUUCCUUAGAAAAUAUACACUGUAAAAAAUUUCUUCUUUUACUUUAAAAAAAUAUGAUCUUAGUCACAAAAACUCAAAUAUCUCAAAACCCUAUCUUUUUACCAACGUCAAUUUUUUAGGGGAAAUGGCCCAUUAUAUCAGCUAUCUACCAUAAAAUUUUGGUGAUGGUAAACUGAUAAACAAAAAAGUUACGACAUUUCAAACAUUUCACAAUUUUUACAUUUAGCAACAAAAAAAAAUUUUUUUUCUGUGUAAAUUAUUUUGAGAAUUAUAUUUUGAUGCUGAUUUUAUUGUAAAGGCCUGAGCUACCGCCUGAAUUAAACAAGUUGUUUUCAUGAUAUUUUAGUUUGAUUAUUCAUAAUUACUACAGUAUCUAUUUGAAACUGAGACGCGAUCCAGUGUUGUGAUCAAAAAUAUUGAGAGUGUCAUACUUUUUAUUGUACGUGACUGGUGAAAAAAUCCCUUGAUAGUGUUGAAAAACUGUUGAUUAUAAGAAAAAUAAAAUUAAACUUAUUUUCAAGACAAAAGCCGUAUAAUAAAAGUUUUAUAUACGCGUAAACGCCUUGUUUAUCUGCAAAAAAAAUACCUCUUAGAGAACAGACUUUAUGAUCGGAAGAAUAAGAGUAACUUCAACAACAACAAAUGCAUGAGAGGUACAUACCACAAACAAACAGACGAAACGCCUAGAACAAUUUUAGUGAAAAUCCAUCGCCCAGUUCACACUACCAUCACCUGGUGGAAAUGUUUCACGAAACACUGCGUUGUGCAAUAUCGUCAUCAGAAGGCGCUAGUGUGAAACGUCAAACGGAAAGAAAAACGAUGGGCGCUCUUAUGGUUAUGAAAGCCACAACCAAGAUUCAAAAUGAUCGUUAAAGGCGUGGUCAAUGAAAAUUUCGUCAGUGUUACGUUUGUUUGUCUGUAUACAUACCAUGACAAUGCUCUGCUCACGAAAAAGCAAAAAAAAAUACUACCGCUAUGGAUAUUAAAAAUUGUAUAGUAAAUUUUUUCUUCAGCCACCAACACCAAACUAGUCAGUUAAAACUAAUAAGUGAUUUUGUUUAUUAUAAUCUAACGAACAACACGAACAGUCGCUUUCUCAAAGGUCUUCAACUCAACGCUCUCUUGUAGACCGUUUGAUGAAAAAAAAUGUUCAAAAGAGUUACGAAAUCUCACCGAAAGCACCAUAGAUAAACUGAAAGAGACUGGUUAUGCCCAAAUGUCCACACUGUAUACAAAUUUACGCAUUUGCACGUCCUGCCGUCUAGAAUUUGACAAACGAGCCAUCUGUAUAUCUUCGGUAAAGCAGGGUGCAGGAAGUUCGAAAACAACAACAACUGAGAAAUUGCCAGAAGUGCUAAGUGCAGAGAGUCAUGCCACCGUACCAUCAGCGACAUCUGUUUAAACAAUUUAAUUACGCCCCUUUUCAAAAAUGCUUUGAAAUAUUCUUCAACAUCUAUACCCAUUUCAAUAUUUUUAACGUUGCAAAACACGCUUUCAACAUUCAUCUUGAAGAAGAGGGAAAACACUUUUUUGGGGCCCC